rnacentral:misc_RNA from 1 species
ACGGGUGGUUGGCUCUUUGCUUGUGCAACAACUAUCACCUGGCAUACCUCUUCAUUUAUGCGUCAAGGCUUCUGUCUUGGCGCAUUGUGGGUUUCCUGUGUUGCCUACCAAAGUGACGGUAUUCUGAGGAUUGAACCUAGUCCCUUUCAUCUUGUGCUACACGUGUGGUAC